UGGUCAUUACCAAGGCUUUUAGGAUGCAGUUUCUCAUUUGCCGUGGACAUGACCACAAAACAUUUGCCCACCAGGUUUUCUUUCUGCUCCAUUGCUAGCGUUCAGCCUAUUGGGAACAUUU